CAGCCGCCACGGUAAAACGUAGGUGGCAAGCGUUGUCCGGAAUUAUUGGGCGUAAAGGGCUCGCAGGCGGUUUCUUAAGUCUGAUGUGAAAGCCCCCGGCUCAACCGGGGAGGGUCAUUGGAAACUGGGAAACUUGUGUGCAGAAGAGGAGAGUGGAAUUCCACGUGUAGCGGUGAAAUGCGUAGAGAUGUGGAGGAACACCAGUGGCGAAGGCGACUCUCUGGUCUGUAACUGACGCUGAGGAGCGAAAGCGUGGGGAGCGAACAGGAUUAGAUACCCCUGUAGUCCCUGUCUCUUAUAC
rnacentral:rRNA from 1 species